UGGGGGAUAUUGGUCAAUGGGCGCAAGCCUGAACCAGCGACGCCGCGUGGGUGAAGAAGGUCUUCGGAUCGUAAAGCCCUUUUCCCACUGAAGAGGAAGGACGGUAGGUGGGGAAGAAGUCUCGGCUAACUACGUGCCAGCAGCCGCGGUAAAACGUAGGAGACAAGCGUUAUCCGGAGUUACUGGGCGUAAAGGGCGUGCAGGUGGCGUCUUAAGUCUGUUGUGAAAGCGCCUGGCUUAACCGGGCGAGGCCAAUGGAGACUGAGAGGCUGGAGGACGGCGGAGGGGUGUGGAAUUCCGGGUGUAGUGGUGAAAUGCGUAGAGAUCCGGAGGAACACCAGAGGCGAAGGCGGCACUCUAAGCCGUACCUGACACUGAGACGCGACAGCACGGGGAGCAAACG
rnacentral:rRNA from 1 species